UACGAAGGGGGCUAGCGUUGCUCGGAAUCACUGGGCGUAAAGGGUGCGUAGGCGGGUUUUUAAGUCAGGGGUGAAAUCCUGGAGCUCAACUCCAGAACUGCCUUUGAUACUGAAAAUCUUGAGUUCGGGAGAGGUGAGUGGAACUGCGAGUGUAGAGGUGAAAUUCGUAGAUAUUCGCAAGAACACCAGUGGCGAAGGCGGCUCACUGGCCCGGUACUGACGCUGAGGUGGCGAAAGCGUGGGGAGCAAACAGG
rnacentral:rRNA from 1 species